AUUGAACGCUGGCGGCAGGCCUAACACAUGCAAGUCGAGCGGAUGAAGGGAGCUUUCUCCUGGAUUCAGCGGCGGACGGGUGAGUAAUGCCUAUGAAUCUGCCUGGUAGUGGUGGAUAACGUCCGGAGACGGGCGCUAAUACCGCAUACGUCCUGAGGGAGAAAGUGGGGGAGCUUCGGACCUCACGCUAUCAGGUGAGCCUAGGUCGGAUUAGAUAGUUGGUUGGGUAAAGGGCUACCAAGGCGACGAUCCGUAACUGGUCUGAGAGGAUGAUCAGUCACACUGGAACUGAGACACGGUCCAGACUACUACGGGAGGGAGCAGUGGGGAAUAUUGGACAAUGGGCGAAAGCCUGAUACAGCCAUGGCGCGUGUGAGACGAAGGUCUUCGGAUUGUAAAGAACUUUAAGUUGGGAGGAAGGGCAGUAAGUUAAGACCUUGCUGUUUUGACGUUAACAACAGAAUAAGCACCGGCUAACUUCGUG
rnacentral:rRNA from 1 species